rnacentral:rRNA from 1 species
GCUCAGAUUGAACGCUGGCGGCAGGCCUAACACAUGCAAGUCGAGCGGUAGCACAGAGAGCUUGCUCUCGGGUGACGAGCGGCGGACGGGUGAGUAAUGUCUGGGAAACUGCCUGAUGGAGGGGGAUAACUACUGGAAACGGUAGCUAAUACCGCAUAAUGUCGCAAGACCAAAGUGGGGGACCUUCGGGCCUCAUGCCAUCAGAUGUGCCCAGAUGGGAUUAGCUAGUAGGUGGGGUAACGGCUCACCUAGGCGACGAUCCCUAGCUGGUCUGAGAGGAUGACCAGCCACACUGGAACUGAGACACGGUCCAGACUCCUACGGGAGGCAGCAGUGGGGAAUAUUGCACAAUGGGCGCAAGCCUGAUGCAGCCAUGCCGCGUGUGUGAAGAAGGCCUUCGGGUUGUAAAGCACUUUCAGCGGGGAGGAAGGCGUUAAGGUUAAUAACCUUGGCGAUUGACGUUACCCGCAGAAGAAGCACCGGCUAACUCCGUGCCAGCAGCCGCGGUAAUACGGAGGGUGCAAGCGUUAAUCGGAAUUACUGGGCGUAAAGCGCACGCAGGCGGUCUGUCAAGUCGGAUGUGAAAUCCCCGGGCUCAACCUGGGAACUGCAUUCGAAACUGGCAGGCUAGAGUCUUGUAGAGGGGGGUAGAAUUCCAGGUGUAGCGGUGAAAUGCGUAGAGAUCUGGAGGAAUACCGGUGGCGAAGGCGGCCCCCUGGACAAAGACUGACGCUCAGGUGCGAAAGCGUGGGGAGCAAACAGGAUUAGAUACCCUGGUAGUCCACGCCGUAAACGAUGUCGAUUUGGAGGUUGUGCCCUUGAGGCGUGGCUUCCGGAGCUAACGCGUUAAAUCGACCGCCUGGGGAGUACGGCCGCAAGGUUAAAACUCAAAUGAAUUGACGGGGGCCCGCACAAGCGGUGGAGCAUGUGGUUUAAUUCGAUGCAACGCGAAGAACCUUACCUGGUCUUGACAUCCACAGAACUUAGCAGAGAUGCUUUGGUGCCUUCGGGAACUGUGAGACAGGUGCUGCAUGGCUGUCGUCAGCUCGUGUUGUGAAAUGUUGGGUUAAGUCCCGCAACGAGCGCAACCCUUAUCCUUUGUUGCCAGCGGUCCGGCCGGGAACUCAAAGGAGACUGCCAGUGAUAAACUGGAGGAAGGUGGGGAUGACGUCAAGUCAUCAUGGCCCUUACGACCAGGGCUACACACGUGCUACAAUGGCAUAUACAAAGAGAAGCGACCUCGCGAGAGCAAGCGGACCUCAUAAAGUAUGUCGUAGUCCGGAUUGGAGUCUGCAACUCGACUCCAUGAAGUCGGAAUCGCUAGUAAUCGUAGAUCAGAAUGCUACGGUGAAUACGUUCCCGGGCCUUGUACACACCGCCCGUCACACCAUGGGAGUGGGUUGCAAAAGAAGUAGGUAGCUUAACCUUCGGGAGGGCGCUUACCACUUUGUGAUUCAUG